rnacentral:rRNA from 1 species
GACGAACGCUGGCGGCGUGCUUAACACAUGCAAGUCGAACGGAGUGGCGAACGGGUGAGUAACACGUGGGUGACCUGCCCUGCACUUCGGGAUAAGCCUGGGAAACUGGGGCUAAUACCGGAUAGUGUGGGAUGGGCCCGCGGCCUAUCAGCUUGUUGGUGGGGUAAUGGCCUACGAAGGCGGCGACGGGUAGCCGGCCUGAGAGGGUGGACGGCCACAUUGGGACUAGGACACGACCCAGAGUCCUACGGGCGACAGCGGUGGGGAAUAUUACACAAUGGGCGGAAGCCUGAUGCAGCGACGCCGCGUGGGGAAUGACGGCCUUCGGGUUGUGAACUCCUUUCACCAUCGACGCGGUAGAUGGAGAAGAAGCACCGGCUAACUACGUGCCAGCCGCCGCGGUAAUUC